UAGUCCACGCCGUAAACGAUGGAUGCUAGCCGUUAGGUUGUUUACAACUUAGUGGCGCAGCUAACGCAUUAAGCAUCCCGCCUGGGGAGUACGGUCGCAAGAUUAAAACUCAAAGGAAUUGACGGGGGCCUGCACAAGCGGUGGAGCAUGUGGUUUAAUUCGACGCAACGCGCAGAACCUUACCAGCUUUUGACAUCCUGGUCGCGGAUUUGGGAGACCAUUUCCUUCAGUUCGGCUGGACCAGUGACAGGUGCUGCAUGGCUGUCGUCAGCUCGUGUCGUGAGAUGUUGGGUUAAGUCCCGCAACGAGCGCAACCCUCAUCCUUAGUUGCCAGCAUUUAGUUGGGCACUCUAAGGAAACUGCCGGUGAUAAGCCGGAGGAAGGUGGGGGAUGACGUCAAGUCCUCAUGGCCCUUACAAGCUGGGGCUACACACGUGCUACAAUGGCGAUGACAGUGAGCAGCUAACCCGCGAGGGGCAAGCUAA
rnacentral:rRNA from 1 species